rnacentral:ncRNA from 1 species
AGGUUUGGCGCACCAGCGGAUCGGCGAAGUUGGAAAGCUGGAACGGAUCGAAAUAACCACCGGGAUUGGCCGUCAUCCACGAAUAGAUGCGGCUUGAGCCAAGCCAUUGCAGCAGCAGGUAGCAGGCUUCGGGAUGCUUGCUCUGCGCCGAAACGCAAGCCGAAAGGUUAAGCCAGAGAACCGAACGGCGAACCAGCUGGCCAUUGACUUCGCGCCCCGGCGGCA